UGAUGGGUUUGCAUUGACCACGUGGAUGGAGUUGGGCAUUCUGCCUGACAUGUUGGACCUUGUGACAUGCGUGCACCACAAUCAAAAUGUGUACCCACCCACAUGUUCCAACCCCUGGCCCUGUGCGUCUCUGCUCCUGUCUCCACGCCAUAGACUUCCUGCAGGUCUAUCCCCAGAAGCCACAGUGUUGAGAUUCCUCGUCUACACUCCCUCUGAUUUCUCUUUAAGAAAGAGAGCAGGUAUCUGUAACACUUGCUGGGGCAGGAAGACCAUGGAGCCUUGAGGAGAAGAAAACCAAGGCAACCAAAGCAAAAAAAGUUGGCUCUGUUUUCAGAGAAGCCUGAGAAUAAAAGUGUGACUGUAAAGCAAACAAACAAACCAAAGCUGGAAGCCGCAGUCCCACACUCGGCUGGAAUGGAGGAUUCCUCCUGCACGCUAACUUCUCAGCAACUGACUUUGGAUGGAAGUCCUGGCUGGGGAAGUGAUUCCAUCGUGGUGUUCCUUUCAACUCCAACUGACCACUUCCCAUCCCUUUAGCUGUGAGGAAGAACCAAACGUUCCCUAGCUCAACAUUUUCAGAAGGGCAUGUUCCAGUCUCCUCCUAAAACAGACUCGAGAAACAGGCCAAGUAGCAGCCUUGGCUUAACCAGCAUAGGCUCACACAAGGACAGGAAAUUCAUCUGGGCUGCUGACAUUCUGAAUAGCUGCCACCUUCGAUGCCAGGAGAGGAGGACAUCGGCAGUGUCGUUAAAUGAAAUGGAUGGUAAUUACAGAGGAGUGAGCUUCGGAAGCUCCUAAAUCUUCUCUGAGGAUGCUGCUGUCACUACUGGUAGCUCUGCUUGCCCCUCCUACACAUCCAUUGCCUUUAGCAUUAGAAAGCACUAUUGCACAACCUAAUAACUGACCCUGCGCACUUGACUGGGAUCAAAAUACCCGCAGCUGGGAAGACAGCUGUCAGUGAAGUUACGUAAGCACGGGGAUUCAUCUUCAAUAUCCAGGACCCACAUAAAAAGCCAGGGGUGGUGGUACAGUCUUGAAAUCCCAGCACUGGGGAAGCAGAGACAGGCAGGUCCCUUAAGCUCACCGGCCAACCACUAUAGCCUAAUCAGUGAGCUUCAGGUCCUCCAAGAGAGACAAGGUAGCCAGAUCCCAAGGGGUGCUACCUGAGGCUGACCUCUGGCCUUCAUAUGCAUGCACACACAUGCCCACAAAGAUCCACACAAUGUGCUCCUUUGGAAAAUCAAACCCACCCUAUACGUCUGAGGGUUUUACUCAGUCUGGACAUUACAAAGGAGUGCUGUGUCUACUAUAGUCCCAUUGACCUCCAGGGCUAAAGACUGGAAUUCUAGGCCUCAGAUAUGUUACCUUCUUUGCUCAGAGAUUGUUCUCAAAAAUUUUAAGACACUUUCUUGCUGGCAUCACCCUCUGGAUCCUUCUAUGUUGGCUUCCCAGGUUCUGGGUCUACAGAUGUCUAUAGCACCUCUGCUCUGCUUCUCGCCCAGCUUGGUGUAGAAUACAGAUGGUAUUGUGGAUGCUGGGAAGUGCUUGCUAAUGGAAACUUGAUAUGGCUGCCUCCUGAGAGAAUCUGCCAGAGCCUGACAAAUACAGAGGUGGAAGCUUGCAGCCAACCAUUGGACUGAGCGUAGGGUUCCCCGAUGGAGGAGUUGAAGAAGGGACUGAAGGAGCUGAGGGGGUUUGCAGUCACAUGGAGGGAGCAACAGUGUCAACCGGCCAGACCUGCCCCAUCCCCCCAGACCCCGGGACUGGACCACCAAACAAAGAAUACACAUGGAGGGACCCAUGGAGCUGGCUGCAUGUGUGGCAGAGAAUGGCUUUGUUGGACAUCAAUGGGAAGAGGGGUCCUAAGGGUGU
rnacentral:lncRNA from 1 species